rnacentral:rRNA from 1 species
UUUCGAAUCAUUCACAAUGGGCGCAAGCCUGAUGGUGCGACGCCGCGUGGGGGACGAAGGUCUUCGGAUUGUAAACCCCUGUCACUAGGGAAGAAACGUUAUAGAUUAACAGUCUAUAGCCUGACUUAACCUGGAGAGGAAGCAGUGGCUAACUCUGUGCCAGCAGCCGCGGUAAUACAGAGACUGCAAGCGUUAUUCGGAUUCACUGGGCGUAAAGGGUGCGCAGGCGGUUGUGUGUGUCAGGUGUGAAAUCUCGGAGCUCAACUCCGAAACUGCGCCUGAAACUACAUGACUAGAGCAUUGGAGAGGGAAGCGGAAUUCACGGUGUAGCAGUGAAAUGCGUAGAUAUCGUGAGGAACACCAGAGGCGAAGGCGGCUUCCUGGACAAUUGCUGACGCUCAGGCACGAAAGCGUGGGGAGCAAAAGGGAUUAGAUACCCCUGUAGUCCACGCCCUAAACGGUGCACACUAGGUCUU